AUUAACGCUGGCGGCGUGGUUAAGGCAUGCAAGUCGUACGGAUAGAAAAUUGAGGUUACAUCAAAGGUUUUCUAUUAGUGGCAAACGGGUGAGUAACACAUUGGUAACCUGCCUCGAAGACGUGAAUAAUUCGCCGAAAGGCGGACUAAUACACGAUGGUCAUGAGGGGACGCAAGUCAUUCUCAUGUAAAGCCGCAAGACGCUCCGAGAGGGGCCUAUGGUCUAUCAGCUAGUUGGCAGGGUAAAAGCCUACCAAGGCGAUGACGGAUAACGGGCGUGAGAGCGCGACCCGUCUCACUGGGACUGAGACACUGCCCAGACUCCUACGGGAGGCUGCAGUCACGGAAAUUCCUCAAUGGCCGAAAGGCUGAAGGAGCGACGCCGCGUGCAGGAAGAAGGACUUCGGUCUGUAAACUGCUUUUAUAGGGGACGAAUUAUUGACGGUACCCUAAGAAUAAGAGGUUGCUAACUCUGU
rnacentral:rRNA from 1 species